GACGAACGCUGGCGGCGUGCUUAACACAUGCAAGUCGAACGCUGAAGCUCAGCUUUUGUUGGGUGGAUGAGUGGCGAACGGGUGAGUAACACGUGAGUAACCUGCCUCCUUCUUUGGGAUAACGCCCGGAAACGGGUGCUAAUACUGGAUAUUCACUGGUCUUCGCAUGGGGGUUGGGGGAAAGGGCUUUUCUGGUGGGGGAUGGGCUCGCGGCAUAUCAGCUUGUUGGUGGGGUGAUGGCCUACCAAGGCGUUGACGGGUAGCCGGGCGGAGAGGGUGACUGGUCACAUUGGGACUGAGAUUCGGCCCAGACUCCUACGGGAGGCAGCAGUGGGGAAUAAUGCACAAUGGGCGCAAGCCUGAUGCAGCGACGCCGCGUGAGGGGUGGAGUCCUGCGUGUUGUGAACCUCUUUCGCUCAUGGUCAAGCCGCAACAAUGGUUGUGGUGAGGGUAGUGGGUAAAGAAGCGCCGGCUAACUACGUG
rnacentral:rRNA from 1 species